GUAGAGACAUUAAAUGUCUGGUGUAAUGUUAGUAUAGUGAAUGGAAGUAAAACACUCCUAACAGUAGAUAAAUUAAAUGUCUGGUGUAAUGUUAGUAUAGUGAAGUAAAACACUCCUAACAGUCUACUUCUACUGAGACAGGUUGGUGUCAGUUUAAUCAUACAACAUGGAGCUGACUGGACGUGGUCAAGUCAAAUUCAAUAUAUAAAUAUUCAUAUAUUAUAGUUCUACAUUUAACAUUUCAUGUGAUAAUGUAAUUGUAUCAUAGUUCCUCUAUAGUGUAGUGAUGGUGCUGCUAGUGAAAGAAAACAUUAAGAGACAGAAUACAGGCGGUGGAGUUUGUACAAAGUUUACGUACAACAAUAUAUUGAACUAGGUAGACUGAGCAUAGAGCUAAAGGCUAUAACCACAGGGAAGAAACUGUUCAGAUUGGGGUCUAUAACAUCCAAUCACUUAGGUUUACAGCAGCUGACAGUUGCAACUUCAUUGCUAAUAACUCAAACUUCCUUUUUCAGAUAAAGACAUCAUCUCUGUACAGAUGUAGGAUCUGAAUUUGAUCACCCUGUUGCAGGAAAACUAAAACUUGCAGUGUAUUUGAUGUUUUAAAAGGCUUCUGAAGUUUGUCAUUUCCACUUUCUGCUUUAAAAUGUUAAUUAUAAUUCACAUAAUUUUUCUGCUUCAGUAAACUGUCUCAAAUUAAGAUCCUACAUCUGUAGCAAAAUAACUGUCUUCCAUGUAUUCUCCUUUGACCAUUUGACAUCUUGUAUUUACUGUUGUUUAGGCUGGUUGAAUGAGUUGUCUAUGAAAGCUACUUCAUCUGUAAGAAAACAGGCGGCUGCACCAGUGACUGUAAGUUAUGUGAUUUCCUCAUAUGAAAUUAAAAGUAUGUUUGUAGCCUACGCAGUUACAAAAUGGCUGUUGAAACUGUGACACAUAUUUCUCAGUACAUUAGAAGUCAGAUAAAUGUGUUGAGACGUAGGAAAGAUGGGCAAACUCUCGUUGGUCUUGGCUUUCUACACACUAUUAUAAGGUUAGUCGAUGUCAGACAUUCAAUAGUCAGAGUAGGUUUGAGCUAUGAUCACUUAUCAUGCUGACAAACCUGAUGGUCUCUGUGAACUGAUCUGAAAAAGUUUAGACUGGUCAUCUAUGAUAUGUAGGUUAUAUACAGUACAUUCUCUGUCCUGCUACUGGUAGGACUAUAACAUUAUGUGAACUGAUCUGAACAGGUUUAGACUGGUCAUCUAUGAUAUGUAGG
ensembl:lncRNA